GUGUUGUCUUCAUAUUUUUCAAAUUGGAUAAUUUCUAUUGCUGUACCUUCAAGUUCACUGAUUUUCUUCUAUCAAUUCCAUUCUGCUAGUAAGCCCAUCUGGUGAAUCUUUUGUUUCAGACAUUUUAUUUUUGCUUUCUAGACUUUCCAUUUGCUUCUUUUUCUUUUUUAAAGAUUAAUUAUUUAUUUAUUCGUGGGAGACACACAGAGAGAGGCAAAGACAUAGGCAGGGGGAGAAGCUGGCUCCGUGCGGGGAGCCUGAUGUGAGACUCCAUCCCAGGACCCUGGGAUCAUGAUGUGAGCCAAAGGCAGGCGUCUGCUCAACCACUAAGCCACCGAGGUGUCCCCAUUUGCUCCUUUUUCAAAGUAUCUACUUCUCUGCUAAGAUUUCUUAUCUUUUAAUUUAUGUGAAAAUCCUUUACUAUGUUGGCAUAAAUAGCUACUUUGAAAUAAAAUACUAUAAGGGCUAAUGUCCACAUUUGGGUCAUCUGGUGAUUGACCUUGGAUGAUUUUCUUUUCUCUUGAAAUUGGUCAUGUGUUCCUGUUUGUUGUCUGUUGAGGAUUUUAGAUUUUAUCUGGACCUUGUGAAUGAUAUUAUAUUGGAGAGAUUUUCUGUGUUAUUUUUUAACCAGGCAAUUAGUUUGGUACACUCAGGUUGAAACUCUGUCGUUUGAACAGCAACUGAAAUAAUCAGUUCAGUUAUUUUAUCUGCUUUGAAUCUGUCCUUGCAUGCAUGAUGUAGUGAUCAGCCAGAGAUUUAGGCAGAUUUAUACCAGAAUCUGGGACUCCUCUGGAUCUCUUCUUUUCACAAUUCUCCUUUACUUUCUGCCAGCUGUGUUUGUCCCAAAUACUGUCUUCAGAUUCUUCAAGCCAGAAAGAUUAAUUUUAGAUUGGACAGAGCACUUACCAUAUGACACUGAAAUAUCUUGACCUCAGACUGUGAAAAUGAAAGACAUAUUGUACCAGUCUCUUCUUACAAUUCUUAACUCCUUGGGACGUCUGGUUGGCUCAGCGGUUGAGUGUCUGCCUUCAGCCUAGCGUGUGAUCCUGGAGUCCCAGGAUCGAGUCCUGCAUCGGGCUCCCUGCAUGGAGCCUGCUUCUCCCUCUGCCUGUGUCUCUGCCUCUCUCUCUCUGUGUCUCUCAUGCAUAAAUAAACAAAAUCUUUUAAUGAAAAAAAAUUUUUUUAACUCCUCUUCAGAAUCUGCCUUUGUUCACCUUCGUGCUCUUUACAAAUAUUUGUCUAGAGUUCUUGUUAUCUGUGGGAAUGUCAGGUUCGUUAAGUGCUUACUUGGCUAUACCCUGGAAGUGAACCAAAUUUGCCAACUUCAAUGAAAAACAUUAAUCCAUCAAUUAAAAAACUUCAUGAAGCACAAGCUGGAUACAUACAAAGAAAAUCACACCUAAGCAAACCAGAGUCAAGCUGCUGAAAACCAAAGGUAAAGAGAGAAGUUAAAAAGAGACAAGAUAGAACAUGCAAGAGAACAAUAAUAAAGGCCAAUAUUUGAUUAGAAAAGGUAGAAGCCAGAAGACAAUAGAAAGGUGUCUGUUAAAAAAAAAAAGAAAAAAGAAAGAAAGGUGUCUGUAAAGAAAGGCUGAAAAUGCAACCUGUCAGCCUAGAAUUCUAUGCCCAGUGUAAUCGCUUUCAAAAAUGAAGGUAAGGGGCCCUUGGAUGGUUCAAUUGGUUAAGCAUCUGACUCUAGGUUUUGGCUCAGGUCAUGACCUCAGGGUCGUGGUUUGGCUCAGAUCAUGACUUCAGGGUCAUGAGAUCAAGCCUCGCGUUGGGGUCUAUGCUGGGUGUGUUAAGCCUGCUUAAAAUUCUCUGUCCCUCUCCCUUGCCGCUCACUCAUGUGCAUGCUUUCUCUCUCUAAAAAAGAAAAAAAUGAAGGUAAAAUAAAGACUCUUUUGAUAAAAGUAGAGAAAAUUUGUCUCUAGCAGACAUGCACUAUGCAAUUGUAACAGACUGUUUAUGGGAGGGGAAAUGAUACCAGAUAGAAACUCAGAGCUAAAGGAAGAAAUGAAGAGAACCACAAAGUGUAACUAUGUAGCUAAAUGAAAAGAUUGUGUGUUUUUUUUUCUUUUCUUGAUUUAUUUAAGGAAAUUAGUGGUUAAAGAAAAAAAACUAACAAUAUAUGGUGAGGUUUAUAGCAUAGAAGUAGAAGUAAAACAUAGUGUAUUAACUGCAUAAAGGAUGGGAAAAUGUAGGGGAGUUACAUGUGUGGGAGGUCCUUAUAUCAUGUGUGAAGAGAUAAACAGUAUUUCAAGCUAAAGUGAGUUAAGGGUUAGUUUUAUAAUUUCUAGAGCAAUCACUAAAACAUACAGAGACUGGGGAUGCCUGGGUGGUGUCCAGUUGGUUGAGUGUCUGACUCUUGAUUUUGACUCAGAUCAUAAUCUUGGGGUCGUGGAAUUGAGCCCUGCAUCGACUCUGUUCUGAGUGUGGAGCCUGCUUGGGAUUCACUCUCUCCCUCUCUCUCUGUCCCUCUCCCUGUUCACGCACACGUGCUCUCUCUCUCUCAAAAUAAAUGAAUAAAAUAUUUUAAAAACAACAAUAACAUACAGAAAGGGAUAACUAAAAAGCCAAAGAAGGAGAUAAAAUGGAAUUUUUUUUUUAUAUAAAAUGGAAUUCUAAAAAAAUAAUAAUAAAUAAAAAAGAACUAAUCCAAAAGGCAGAAAAAGAACACAGGAACAAAGAUUAGAUAGACAAUUAGAAAUUAAAAGCUAUAACUAUCACAUUAAUAAUGAUUUUAAAUGAAAAUGGAUAAAAUGUUACUAAAGGCAGAGUUUGAAAAGUUGGGUAACAGAAAACCAAAUCAUAUUCUGUUUGCAAGAGAUGCAGUUUGAAUGUAAAGACAGGGAUCCUUGGGUGGCGCAGCGGUUUGGCGCCUGCCUUUGGCCCGGGGAGCAAUCCUGGAGACCCGGGAUCGAAUCCCAUGUCGGGCUCCCUGUAUGGAGCCUGCUUCUCCCUCUGCCUGUGUCUCUGC
rnacentral:lncRNA from 1 species